CCCUUAGAUGUUCUGGGCAGCACGCGCGCUACAAUGGUCUUCGCAAACGGAUGCAUUCUCGAAGGAGAAUGCCAAUCUUGGAAUCUAUGCCUUGGUCGGGACAGUUGCUUGCAAUUUUUCGACUCGAACCAGGAAUUCCUUGUAAUCGUGAUUCAUCACAUCACGAUGAAUACGUCCCUGCCCUUUGUACACACCGCCCGUCGCUCCUACCGAUCGGAUGGUCCGGUGAAGCCUCGGGAUUGUGGUUCUUGCCGCUUUAUUGUGGCGUGACCGCGAGAACUUGUCUAAACCUUAUCAUCUAGAGGAAGGUGAAGUCGUAACA
rnacentral:rRNA from 1 species